AGUUCAGAUUCAAGGAAAAGCGUUCAAAGCAUAAAUCACAAACAAAUAAGCUAGCUAAAUAUGAUUGAAGGUCUGGACAUAUCCAGUUCCUAGUCAACCAAGGAGCACAGCCAAGUGCCACAGAAUUACGUACAGAAAGUUCAAUAUUAUUCGUAAAAGAAACAACUCCAACAUGGAGACCAACCACAUGAACUACU